AUAGAUCUGAGAUCUUAAUAUUACAUCACCACGAUUGAGUAGCAAUUUAAAUAGGGAUCUUCCCCUCAGGUUUAACUAGCUAACUCAGCAAAAUCUACCAAGAUGACAACAACUCUCCUGUUUUCCUCUGUUGUCCUUGUCCUGACCUUACUGUCAUGUCAGCCAGCUCAAGGUGAUGAUUUGAUACCAAACCCUGAAAAAGCAUUCUCACCACUAGAUUUUCUGGGACCAAUACAACCAGGGCUGACUGUUGGAGUGGUUGGUGGAACAGUGGUGGUGAUGCUGGUUUUGGCGGUGUGUGUGUAUGCCCCUCUACCUAGACCAAGGAAAUACGAGGUCACAUGACAACAAUGAUAAACCUUAAACUGAAUGUUUUUGUACGUGAAUUAUAAUAAUUAUCGCAAUAGUUAAUGUACAGUGUACAGUGGUUUAUGACAGUAAACCUGAGGGAGAACAUAAAAUUAGUAUUUUCGUUUUUA